AUUGAACGCUGGCGGCAGGCCUAACACAUGCAAGUCGAACGGUAACAGGAAGAAGCUUGCUUCUUUGCUGACGAGCGGCGGACGGGUGAGGAAUGUCUGGGAAACUGCCUGAUGGAGGGGGAUAACUACUGGAAACGGUAGCUAAUACCGCAUAACGUCGCAAGACCAAAGAGGGGGACCUUCGGGCCUCUUGCCAUCGGAUGUGCCCAGAUGGGAUUAGCUAGUAGGUGGGGUAACGGCUCACCUAGGCGACGAUCCCUAGCUGGUCUGAGAGGAUGACCAGCCACACUGGAACUGAGACACGGUCCAGACUCCUACGGGAGGCAGCAGUGGGGAAUAUUGCACAAUGGGCGCAAGCCUGAUGCAGCCAUGCCGCGUGUAUGAAGAAGGCCUUCGGGUUGUAAAGUACUUUCAGCGGGGAGGAAGGGAGUAAAGUUAAUACCUUUGCUCAUUGACGUUACCCGCAGAAGAAGCACCGGCUAACUCCGUG
rnacentral:rRNA from 1 species